GACGAACGCUGGCGGCGUGCUUAACACAUGCAAGUCGAACGGAAAGGCCCCUUUGGGGGUACUCGAGUGGCGAACGGGUGAGUAACACGUGAGUAACCUGCCCUUGACUUCGGGAUAACUUCAGGAAACUGGGGCUAAUACCGGAUAGGAAUCCUUGCUGCAUGGUGGGGGUUGGAAAGCUUCGGCGGUUUUGGGUGGACUCGCGGCUUAUCAGCUUGUUGGUGGGGUAGUGGCUUACCAAGGCUUUGACGGGUAGCCGGCCUGAGAGGGCGACCGGCCACAUUGGGACUGAGGGACGGCCCAGACUCCGACGGGAGGCAGCAGUGGGGAAGAUUGCACAAUGGGCGGAAGCCUGAUGCAGCAACGCCGCGUGCGGGAUGACGGCCUUCGGGUUGUAAACCGCUUUCAGCAGGGGCGAAGCUUGUGGUGACGGUACCUGCAGAAGAAGCACCGGCUAACUACGUG
rnacentral:rRNA from 1 species